CUCCCAGCACCACCUUCCUGCUGCUCUUUGUUUUACCUUGUGGCCAUCAUUCUGCGAGGUGGACAAACCCAUUGCCAUCAAUCUGGUUUCUGUCACCUGCCUUAGUGAGUCAAAGAAGUAGUCUGCUUCGUUCUGACUGAUCACCUGGAAAAGAGGCCAAGUAAUGAAGGGAGGAAAGAGUGGAUUAGCAGAGCAUACAGACUAUCAAGUAUCAGGCUGAAUUUUCUUUCCCUGUCUGCAGUGAGAGAGCACAAUUACAGCAGAAAAGACAGAGGCAAGGGGAAAGAAGUAAAGAAAUGGGGGAAGGAAGGCUCAAAUGGUUUGUUUCACAUGGGGAUUUUUAUUGCAUCUUCCAAUGUUUUUUUCUCUCCAACCUGCUUACUGAAAUCAAGCUGAGGUUGCCUUACACUUAGCUAUCUACUUUGUCAAAUAUCAGCAUGUGCUGGGUUCCUCUUUACAGGAACAGCACAUCAGAUUUUCCCUGUCUUGGACUCAGUGCUGCUUCUGCCUUGAUCACAGCCUCAGGGAGAAGGGACCUCUCAGUGAGGCAGCCCAUCCAAGAAUCAGCUCAGGCAAGACAAGUUUCUGGGAAACUAGAGACCAGUCAGCCAGUGUUGGUCAGCCACUGCUCUCCCUAACAGUACUUGGCACUGUACCUGUGCAGCACAUCUCCUGGGCAAAGCCUGUGUGGAAAACGGCUGAAUCCAGCAGUACACAACAUGCAAUUUGCUAUCAUCCCAGCAGCUGCAAGAAAGCCUGCAUCUUCUCUGUUUUUAAUGCCAUCUCUACCACUGGUAGACUGAUAGAAACUCUGCUUCUCCAUCCAGCUUCUUAAAGUAAUUGUCAGGUGGCAUAAGCUCAAGUCCAGGUUGUAUCCCCUCAGACAGAAGCAGUAAUGCCCUGCUGUGUUGCUUGGUCUUAUAUAUGGAUGUUUAGGUGGUCUGGUAAAUGAGUGAGGGAGGAGAGGGAAGUCUGGCCACCCUGCUGUGGCUGAGAAGAGUUACCUUGUCUGCAAUCUUCACAAAGAGGCUGAAACCUUCCCAGGAGCUCAGCUGCAGCUUGGAAGCAAUGUUCUGACACAGAGACCGGAUUUUGGUGUUUGUUCCCACGUCAAAUGUCUGUGAGGUUAGAAGAUGUGUGUUACACAGAGGAGAGACACUCAGUGUCUUGAAGUGUGCUCCCACAUGAACACACCAUGGCUUGGAAAAAGGUCAGGGCUGGGAAGACAGGUUAGUUCUUACCUGUUCUGUUUCAUUGGGGAAGCAAAUCUUGUGCGAGAUCUUAGUGUUGUUCUGUAAGAUGGCCUCGACCUCCACGGGAUGAGGUGCCCACUUCCUGGAGCCACUCCUGGAAAGUGCCACCACCAUCAUAAGACAGGCUGUGUAGGACAUUUAAUCUUGAAGGAAUUUAACAACAGUAGUCCAUCCCAACAGCAGAUCCCAUCCAGCAGCUAGUGCUGUGUGAUGGGGUGGGCUCCGAUGGACCUUCACCCCAGUGCAAAUUCAGCCAGAAACUGAGUCUUACACGUGUAGAUAAAGUCUGUUCUGCUCUGCAAGGAGGCUGUGUGAAUAAUGCACCUUCCUAGUCUAGCACCACUGCCCCUUCUAUGCAUUCAGCAGCAUUUGUCCUUACUGAAGCGUGAAGAUAGUGGCCACAAGGAGAAAUUAGUUUCAUUUCAUUCUUGUGUCAGCAGAAAGAUGGAUUUAGAUGCAAGAGGUGUCAGACCAGGAGAAAAGUACCAGAAAAGUCUGGGGGAGCUGCUGGAAGCCUUACAUUUUAUAUAAGAGCUGGUAUAUAGUCAGUGAAUCAGCAGGCUCUUAAGCUAUCCAAUCCCAGUUCUUUGAACUUACACCUCGGAGCAGAGGUGUGUGUUAAAGCAGAAGAACUGGCCCUGAAGCCUGAGUCAUGCAAAAACCUUGAACCACUUGGAGUGGGGACAAGUCUAGCAUGUUACCUCCUGGGGCUGGCAUUGGUCUGCCCUCAGUGGCACAGAUCAGGAUCUCCAUCUUGUACACUGAAGCCUGUGGAUCAAACUCCUCCCUCAUACUGGGUCAGUCUCUCAGGAAGACAGCUCAAUCUGGCAUCUAGCUUCAGUUGUGUGGAUUUAAAACCUCUUUUUUUUUUUUAACAUUAAACAAAGUAGCAGUUCCAUUUGGAGGAGAAAAACCUGGCUGCAAGCAAGCUGAACAGCAUCUGCUUUGCUACUGGGCAGGCAUUUUGAGGCGGGUGGACCUGCCCUACUCAGCAUCUGCUCCUGGGCUUGCAGCACAGGGAGUGCAAGGAUGUGCAGCAGCCUGGCUGGAGGCAUGGGGCCACCUCUCACAGUAUCAUCAUCAUCAUCAGGGUUGGAAGAGCCCUCACAGAUCAUCAAGUCUCCUUGCAGCCUCAGCUAGGGAUUCAUUGCAAAGAGAAGGUCUGCUUUGACACUCAGUGUGGUGCUCACUUAUUCCCUGACCAGCAGCCUGAGGAUGAAGCUGUACAGCUGCUCAUGGAGGAAAAGAUGUACCCCUGGCCUCAUAUGGCCUCUGCUGCACUUACUGUAGAUGAAGACACACUAUUUUAAUCCCAUUCAUACUCCAGAGAUCAGAAGUGUUUGUGUCUGUGUGAGAGCAAGACAUGGUCCACAGCACAGCAGCCUGGGAAGGAUGAAAGAUUCUGGCUGUUCUAAUGAAAAUCUAUGGAAAUAGCCACCUUUCAAGCAUUGUUUUUUUCCACACCAGUGAUCCCUCUCACAACAGUGAAUGGCUCACAGGACUAAAUUAGUGGAGUACAUCAGGCAUGGCACUGGCACUAUGGUUACAGACUGUGUGGUAAACAGCCUGUGAGAUUUAGUGCACACAAGGAAAUUUACCAUUUAAUAGUUACACACAUGGUAGAAGUUCCACUAAGUUAAACUUCUGUGGAACAGCAAGAAAGUAAAGAGAAGCUCCUUAUCUAACUUUUGCAGUGAUAUAAUGCAGCUGGAAACAGAGGAGCUAUUUUGUUAAUAAUUAGUAUUGUUUUAAGCUUCUUUAUGCAAUUCCUGCCCUCUGGAAAGUAGGUCAAAUGAUCAUUUUAUGAGUGGGGAAGAAAACACCAGCCUGUUUCAGGGACACUUAUUUAUGACCUGUGUAACUAAUCUGUUCUACAAGGCAGCUGAGUGACCUAGUUAAUAUAACUACUCAAAAGUAUUCUCUGGUGGUAACAGAUCAACUGUGAACCAUGUGCUUAUGGGAGAGAAAUGCUGUCGCUGGGAAACCUCAACAGAAGCUGGCAGAACAGGCACUGACAGCAUGUAAGGACUCUACACUACCAUAUUUUCUUCACAGAGUGCCUGAGGACUAAGAGGGCUUCAGUACACCUUGCCCACCUCACACCCUAUUGCACAAAGAUGACCACUGGACGCUGGUGGGGGCAACCCAGCAGCUCAAGGGGGAUUGAGUAAGGGUCCUGCUCUGUGGCCUUUCACUGCCAGUCAGUGGUCCCGAAUGCUCUGCCAAGGUGAGUCCCGCAGCACUGCCUGGACAAAGGGGAAGGAAAGGUGUCACUCCAGCACUUGGACAGCUUUCCCUCUGCCCCUGCUCCCUCACUUGAGGGAUCUCAGUCGCCACCUGCACUUGAGCCCUGGCUCUGCAGAAGCAGAGUGUUUCCAUGUGGGCGAGUACCUGUUUCUGUUCUCAGUCAGUUGCUUC